GUYUUUUUGUUAAAAAUUUAAAGUCGGGCCUGCCCACUGAAAAUUUAAAUGGCCGUGGUAUUUUGACCGUGCUAAGGUAGCAUAAUCAUUAGUUUUUUAAUUGAAAGCUGGAAUGAAGGGUUUGAUAAAAAAAUGACUGUCUCUGUUUAAUUUUAUUAAAAUUUUAUUUUUAAGUUCAAAAGCUUAAUUUUUAUUAAAAGACGAGAAGACCCUAUAGAGUUUAAUAAUAAAAAUUAAUUUUUAUUUUAGAAUUAAUUUAUUUAUUUUUUAAUAUUAUUUAAUUGGGGUGAUUGAAAAAUUUAGUUAACUUUUUUUAUAUUAAAUCAUUAAUUUAUGAAUAUUUGAUCCAAUUUUUUUGAUUAUAAGAUAAAAUUACCUUAGGGAUAACAGCGUAAUUUUUUUAGAAAGUUCAAAUUAAAAAAAAAGAUUGCGACCUCGAUGUUGGAUUAAAAUUAAAUUUUGGUGUAGAAGCUAAAAAAUUUAAGUCUGUUCGACUUUUAAAAUUUUACA
rnacentral:rRNA from 1 species